AUAAUUUCAAAGAUGUGAUUAUUUUCUAUCUUUCUAUGUCUCAGGCAAUGGCUGUACCAUCCAUUCAGCUGAACAAAUCAGAUUCCUAGAAUUGUCCUCGACAUGCCAUUGCCUCCAGGUAAUCAUGCACAGGAGACCACUUUGGGGGAAGUUAUCAGCCCUCCAGUGAAGGAAAUCAAAC
rnacentral:lncRNA from 1 species